AGAGUUUGAUCCUGGCUCAGGAUGAACGCUGGCGGCGUGCCUAAUACAUGCAAGUCGAACGCUUCACUUCGGUGAAGAGUGGCGAACGGGUGAGUAAUACAUAAGUAACCUGGCAUCUACAGGGGGAUAACUGAUGGAAACGUCAGCUAAGACCGCAUAGGUGUAGAGAUCGCAUGAACUCUAUAUGAAAAGUGCUACGGGACUGGUAGAUGAUGGACUUAUGGCGCAUUAGCUUGUUGGUAGGGUAACGGCCUACCAAGGCGACGAUGCGUAGCCGACCUGAGAGGGUGACCGGCCACACUGGGACUGAGACACGGCCCAGACUCCUACGGGAGGCAGCAGUAGGGAAUUUUCGGCAAUGGGGGAAACCCUGACCGAGCAACGCCGCGUGAAGGAAGAAGUAAUUCGUUAUGUAAACUUCUGUCAUAGAGGAAGAACGGUGGAUAUAGGGAAUGAUAUCCAAGUGACGGUACUCUAUAAGAAAGCCACGGCUAACUACGUGCCAGCAGCCGCGGUAAUACGUAGGUGGCGAGCGUUAUCCGGAAUUAUUGGGCGUAAAGAGGGAGCAGGCGGCACUAAGGGUCUGUGGUGAAAGAUCGAAGCUUAACUUCGGUAAGCCAUGGAAACCGUAGAGCUAGAGUGUGUGAGAGGAUCGUGGAAUUCCAUGUGUAGCGGUGAAAUGCGUAGAUAUAUGGAGGAACACCAGUGGCGAAGGCGACGAUCUGGCGCAUAACUGACGCUCAGUCCCGAAAGCGUGGGGAGCAAAUAGGAUUAGAUACCCUAGUAGUCCACGCCGUAAACGAUGAGUACUAAGUGUUGGGGGUCAAACCUCAGUGCUGCAGUUAACGCAAUAAGUACUCCGCCUGAGUAGUACGUUCGCAAGAAUGAAACUCAAAGGAAUUGACGGGGGCCCGCACAAGCGGUGGAGCAUGUGGUUUAAUUCGAAGCAACGCGAAGAACCUUACCAAGUCUUGACAUCCCACUGACCGGACAGUAAUGUGUCCUUCCCUUCGGGGCAGUGGAGACAGGUGGUGCAUGGUUGUCGUCAGCUCGUGUCGUGAGAUGUUGGGUUAAGUCCCGCAACGAGCGCAACCCCUGUUCUUAGUAGCCAGCGGUUCGGCCGGGCACUCUAGGGAGACUGCCAGGGAUAACCUGGAGGAAGGCGGGGAUGACGUCAAAUCAUCAUGCCCCUUAUGACUUGGGCUACACACGUGCUACAAUGGCGUAAACAAAGGGAAGCAAGACCGUGAGGUGGAGCAAAUCCCAAAAAUAACGUCUCAGUUCGGACUGUAGUCUGCAACCCGACUACACGAAGCUGGAAUCGCUAGUAAUCGCAGAUCAGAAUGCUGCGGUGAAUACGUUCCCGGGUCUUGUACACACCGCCCGUCACACCAUGGGAGUUGGGAAUGCCCGAAGCCAGUGACCUAACCGAAAGGAAGGAGCUGUCGAAGGCAGGCUCGAUAACUGGGGUGAAGUCGUAACAAGGUAGCCGUAUCGGAAGGUGCGGCUG
rnacentral:rRNA from 1 species